GGAUCAUUGCUGGAACGCGCCCCAGGCGCACCCAGAAACCCUUUGUGAAUUUCAUACCUUACCGUUGCCUCGGCGCAUGCCGGCCCCCCAGGGGCCCCUCUGGAGACGGAGGAGCAGGCACGCCGGCGGCCGACCAAACUCUUGUUUUUACACUGAAGCUCUGAGGAAAAACACAAAAUGAAUCAAAACUUUCAACAACGGAUCUCUUGGUUCUGGCAUCGAUGAAGAACGCAGCGAAAUGCGAUAAGUAAUGUGAAUUGCAGAAUUCAGUGAAUCAUCGAAUCUUUGAACGCACAUUGCGCCCUCCGGUAUUCCGGAGGGCAUGCCUGUUCGAGCGUCAUUUCAACCCUCAAGCCUGGCUUGGUGUUGGGGCGCUGCCCUCUCCGGAGGGCAGGCCCUGAAAUUCAGUGGCGGGCUCGCCAGGACCCCGGGCGCAGUAGUUAAACCCUCGCUCUGGAAGGCCCUGGCGGUGCCCGGCCGUUAAACCCCCGAAAGGGACCUCGGAUCAGGUAGGAAUA
rnacentral:misc_RNA from 1 species